AGAACAAUUGGCGGUAUUCAAACACAUAAAAAGGGAUGCUUUUCGUUCAACGUGCAUGAAAGCAGGGAAGGAGAAAUCAACUUUUCAGUGCAUGGCUUUGAUGGAAAGUGAAGAAACCUACAGAUAUUCAUUGGUGUUGUCAAAGGUCUUCUUCCUAUAUUUAUUCAUCAAAGAUCAAACGUUUGACGCCUGCAGUGUGUAUUUCAACAUGCAAGAUAAGACAACAAGUGGACUAUUGUUUGUGUCUGCUAGCUGAGAGGCCUUGUAGAUCUUGAUCUUCCAUGUCGACCAAGCCUUCGAUGACCUCAAGCCCAUGAGACCCUGGUGGAAUCGUAUUCGAUGAUAACAACGAUCGACUUCCACGACGACAACGACUGCAGAUCAUGCCAGUUCUUCGGCCAAGGAUGCUCUGCGGUGGAUAUCUAGCUGGUCAUGCAUGGAUGCCGUGAGAGAUUAUAUGAAAUUCUCACAAUUCUCAUCAUGAUGCGCGAUCAGGACUUCAUUGCAUAACAAAUAUUAAGUGUCGGCGGUAUAGAUCACGAUCGUCCAUGUCGACCAAGCCCCCGAGUAGUGAGUAGUGACUCCUUCAAACCCAUAUGAGACCCUGGUUGGAUCGAGUGAUAUUCGAUAAUGACAACGACUUCGUCAACGACCACGACUCAAGGUCAUGCCAGCAUUUCGGUCAAGUGGAUCGAGCAGGCCGUGGCGCUCCGUGCGAGAUUAUGGACUUGGGAUUAUGGAAUUCUCACUACCGUCGUGACGAGACGCGAUCAGGGCUUAAGAAAGAUGUAUAUGGUAAAAGUGACAUUUUGUGGUAACCGAUAAUGUCCAGGGCCCCGUCUUACAAAGAGUUGCGAUUGAUCCAAUCAACCACAACUAUGGAAAGCCAGCAAUGUCAACAUCUAAAAUGCAUGUUUAUUCACAUUAUUUUCAAGAUAUGAAGUAAAUUUAAACAUCCAUCGUUUUCUUGACAAUUCAGUAUGCUUCUCUUUGUUCACAAAGUAUAUUGUGAAAAUUUUCUGAAGAAAAAAAUAUGACAUUGAUGGAUUUCCAUAUAGUUGACGUUGAUUGGAUCAAUUGUUAAUUUUUUGUAAGACGGGGCCCUGGUCGGAUUUUAGGGGCUGGAAACGGAGACCCCCCCCCCUCCAGGUAAAAAGAGGUAGUUUUCCUCAAACUUAAUUGGCAAUUGUAUUGUCAUUUUCAAUAAAGUUUUCAUCAAAUUGCUGCAUGGUCUAGCUGGUUUCGACAAUUUCUACAGACAAAUCGUUUAAUAAUAUAUUUCAUUUUUUCAAUUUAUCAUAAUUUGCUUCUUAGGGUUAAUUGAAAAGAGAAUGGAGGGACCAGCGUGGAGGCCUGUGACAGCAUCCCUGAAAACCUGCGGGAAAGUGUAGCGACAGAGUGAAAUUAAACAUGUUAUUUUAAUAAGUAAAACUUCUUAUUUGAAUCUGAACAAAGUACGAACUUCAGAAAUGCUAGAUUCAUUAUAUAACUAUAUGUACAUUGAGUUAUGGUUUACAUUUCCCAGUGACAAAAAUUGUUUUGUCAAUUCAACACCUUUUUGUUUGUUAGGGUUAUAUAGAAAUAAAAUGGAGAAACCAGCACGGAGGCCUGUGACAGCAUCCCUGAAAACCUGCGGGAAAGUGUAGCGACAGAGUGAAAUGAAACAUAUUAUU